UACAGAGGUCCCAAGCGUUGUUCGGAUUCACUGGGCGUAAAGGGUGCGUAGGUGGCGAGGUAAGUCGGAUGUGAAAGCUCGGAGCUCAACUCCGAAAUGGCAUUGGAAACUACCUUGCUUGAGGGUUGGAGGGGGGACUGGAAUACUUGGUGUAGCAGUGAAAUGCGUAGAUAUCAAGUGGAACACCAGUGGCGAAGGCGAGUCUCUGGACAUUUCCUGACGCUGAGGCACGAAAGCCAGGGGAGCAAACGGG
rnacentral:rRNA from 1 species